rnacentral:lncRNA from 1 species
UGCCAAAGUAAUGUUAACUUUAUCUAUAAUGCGGCAUGCAGCAAGGUUGUCGUGGAGACGGAGUUGUUCUUCCAUCCGAUCCCUUUCAGCACAGAAUUUAAAGUACCGUCUUUUCUCACAACUGAUCAUUUUGCGUAAGCACUUGCUUUUGAAGUCCGCCAGCAAGAUGAGACAGUCAUGUGGUACACGGAUAUUCAUGACACACUUUGGGAGAACUUGAUUAGUAACACAUUCCUGGAGAAAUUCAUACUUCAUUAGGCUCUUCAGAAACUUAACGCUCACUCUGGAAAAAUCCGUGGCCAGCUUAGCCAUACGAACACAUCAAAUUGAAAACUAGGUCUCAGAAUAGGAU